GACGAACGCUGGCGGCGUGCCUAAUACAUGCAAGUUGAGCGCUGAAGGUUGGUACUUGUACCAACUGGAUGAGCAGCGAACGGGUGAGUAACGCAUGGGGAAUCUGCCUUUGAGCGGGGGACAACAUUUGGAAACGAAUGCUAAUACCGCAUAAAAACUUUAAACACAAGUUUUAAGUUUGAAAGAUGCAAUUGCAUCACUCAAAGAUGAUCCCGCGUUGUAUUAGCUAGUUGGUGAGGUAAAGGCUCACCAAGGCGAUGAUACAUAGCCGACCUGAGAGGGUGAUCGGCCACAUUGGGACUGAGACACGGCCCAAACUCCUACGGGAGGCAGCAGUAGGGAAUCUUCGGCAAUGGACGAAAGUCUGACCGAGCAACGCCGCGUGAGUGAAGAAGGUUUUCGGAUCGUAAAACUCUGUUGGUAGAGAAGAACGUUGGUGAGAGUGGAAAGCUCAUCAAGUGACGGUAACUACCCAGAAAGGGACGGCUAACUACGUG
rnacentral:rRNA from 1 species